UUUGACUGGGGCGGUCUCCUCCUAAAGAGUAACGGAGGAGUACGAAGGUGCGCUCAGACCGGUCGGAAAUCGGUCGCAGAGUAUAAAGGCAAAAGCGCGCUUGACUGCGAGACAGACACGUCGAGCAGGUACGAAAGUAGGUCUUAGUGAUCCGGUGGUUCUGUAUGGAAGGGCCAUCGCUCAACGGAUAAAAGGUACUCCGGGGAUAACAGGCUGAUACCGCCCAAGAGUUCAUAUCGACGGCGGUGUUUGGCACCUCGAUGUCGGCUCAUCACAUCCUGGGGCUGAAGCCGGUCCCAAGGGUAUGGCUGUUCGCCAUUUAAAGUGGUACGCGAGCUGGGUUUAGAACGUCGUGAGACAGUUCGGUCCCUAUCUGCCGUGGACGUUUGAGAUUUGAGAGGGGCUGCUCCUAGUACGAGAGGACCGGAGUGGACGAACCUCUGGUGUUCCGGUUGUCACGCCAGUGGCAUUGCCGGGUAGCUAUGUUCGGAAAAGAUAACCGCUGAAAGCAUCUAAGCGGGAAACUUGCCUCAAGAUGAGAUCUCACUGGGAACUUGAUUCCCCUGAAGGGCCGUCGAAGACUACGACGUUGAUAGGCUGGGUGUGUAAGCGUUGUGAGGCGUUGAGCUAACCAGUACUAAUUGCCCGUGAGGCUUGACCA
rnacentral:rRNA from 1 species